GAUGGAUAACAGGUUGAUAUUCCUGUACCACCUAUAAUCGUUUAAUCGAUGGGGGACGCAGUAGGAUAGGCGAAGCGUGCGAUUGGAUUGCACGUCUAAGCAGUAAGGCUGAGUAUUAGGCAAAUCCGGUACUCGUUAAGGCUGAGCUGUGAUGGGGAGAAGACAUUGUGUCUUCGAGUCGUUGAUUUCACACUGCCGAGAAAAGCCUCUAGAUAGAAAAUAGGUGCCCGUACCGCAAACCGACACAGGUAGUCAAGAUGAGAAUUCUAAGGUGAGCGAGCGAACUCUCGUUAAGGAACUCGGCAAAAUGACCCCGUAACUUCGGGAGAAGGGGUGCUCUUUAGGGUUAACGCCCAGAAGAGCCGCAGUGAAUAGGCCCAAGCGACUGUUUAUCAAAAACACAGGUCUCUGCUAAACCGUAAGGUGAUGUAUAGGGGCUGACGCCUGCCCGGUGCUGGAAGGUUAAGAGGAGUGGUUAGCUUCUGCGAAGCUACGAAUCGAAGCCCCAGUAAACGGCGGCCGUAACUAUAACGGUCCUAAGGUAGCGAAAUUCCUUGUCGGGUAAGUUCCGACCCGCACGAAAGGCGUAACGAUUUGGGCACUGUCUCAACGAGAGACUCGGUGAAAUCAUAGUACCUGUGAAGAUGCAGGUUACCCGCGACAGGACGGAAAGACCCCGUGGAGCUUUACUGUAGCCUGAUAUUGAAAUUCGGCACAGCUUGUACAGGAUAGGUAGGAGCCUUUGAAACGUGAGCGCUAGCUUACGUGGAGGCGCUGGUGGGAUACUACCCUAGCUGUGUUGGCUUUCUAACCCGCACCACUUAUCGUGGUGGGAGACAGUGUCAGGCGGGCAGUUUGACUGGGGCGGUCGCCUCCUAAAAGGUAACGGAGGCGCUCAAAGGUUCCCUCAGAAUGGUUGGAAAUCAUUCAUAGAGUGUAAAGGCAUAAGGGAGCUUGACUGCGAGACCUACAAGUCGAGCAGGGUCGAAAGACGGACUUAGUGAUCCGGUGGUUCCGCAUGGAAGGGCCAUCGCUCAACGGAUAAAAGCUACCCCGGGGAUAACAGGCUUAUCUCCCCCAAGAGUUCACAUCGACGGGGAGGUUUGGCACCUCGAUGUCGGCUCAUCGCAUCCUGGGGCUGUAGUCGGUCCCAAGGGUUGGGCUGUUCGCCCAUUAAAGCGGUACGCGAGCUGGGUUCAGAACGUCGUGAGACAGUUCGGUCCCUAUCCGUCGUGGGCGUAGGAAAUUUGAGAGGAGCUGUCCUUAGUACGAGAGGACCGGGAUGGACAUACCUCUGGUGUACCAGUUGUCGUGCCAACGGCAUAGCUGGGUAGCUAUGUGUGGACGGGAUAAGUGCUGAAAGCAUCUAAGCAUGAAGCCCCCCUCAAGAUGAGAUUUCCCAACUUCGGUUAUAAGAUCCCUCAAAGAUGAUGAGGUUAAUAGGUUCGAGGUGGAAGCAUGGUGACAUGUGGAGCUGACGAAUACUAAUCGAUCGAAGACUUAAUCA
rnacentral:rRNA from 1 species